GAUGAACGCUGGCGGCGUGCCUAAUACAUGCAAGUCGAGCGAACGGACGAGAAGCUUGCUUUUCUGAUGUUAGCGGCGGACGGGUGAGUAACACGUGGAUAACCUACCUAUAAGACUGGGAUAACUUCGGGAAACCGGAGCUAAUACCGGAUAAUAUUUUGAACCGCAUGGUUCAAAAGUGAAAGACGGUCUUGCUGUCACUUAUAGAUGGAUCCGCGCUGCAUUAGCUAGUUGGUAAGGUAACGGCUUACCAAGGCAACGAUGCAUAGCCGACCUGAGAGGGUGAUCGGCCACACUGGAACUGAGACACGGUCCAGACUCCUACGGGAGGCAGCAGUAGGGAAUCUUCCGCAAAGGGCGAAAGCCUGACGGAGCAACGCCGCGUGAGUGAUGAAGGUCUUCGGAUCGUAAAACUCUGUUAUUAGGGAAGAACAUAUGUGUAAGUAGCUGUGCACAUCUUGACGGUACCUAAUCAGAAAGCCACGGCUAACUACGUG
rnacentral:rRNA from 1 species